CAGCCGCCGCGGUAAUACGGAGGGGGCUAGCGUUGUUCGGAAUCACUGGGCGUAAAGCGCACGUAGGCGGCUUUGUAAGUUAGAGGUGAAAGCCUGGGGCUCAACCUCAGAAUUGCCUUUAAGACUGCAGAGCUGGUAGGUGAGAGAGGUGAGUGGAAUUCCGAGUGUAGAGGUGAAAUUCGUAGAUAUUCGGAAGAACACCAGUGGCGAAGGAGGCUCACUGGCUCAUUCUAGACGCUGAGGUGCGAAAGCGUGGGGAGCAAACAGGAUUAGAUACCCCUGUAGUCCCUGUCUCUUAUAC
rnacentral:rRNA from 1 species